CAGCUGAAACCGGUUUGAGCGGAGCCGCUUCCUGCUGCUCGGCGCCGCCGCGGGCCGCCGUGGGGAGCGCUGGCGAGGCGCGACGGCUGGCUCCUGGCACCUCGGCCCGCGGCCCUCGCUCUCGGGCGCGGCGGCGGCGCGGACCCGCGGCCCCGGCAGCACAACAUUGUAAAAUAAAUCUAUCAGAAUGACACCUUCUCAGGUUACCUUUGAAAUAAGAGGAACACUUUUACCAGGAGAAGUUUUUGCAAUAUGUGGAAGCUGUGAUGCUUUGGGGAACUGGAGUCCUCAAAAUGCCGUGGCUCUUCUUCCAGAGAAUGAGACAGGUGAAAGCAUGUUAUGGAAAGCUACCAUUGUACUCAGUAGAGGAGUAUCUGUUCAGUAUCGCUACUUCAAAGGGUGCUUUUUAGAACCAAAGACUAUCGGUGGUCCAUGUCAAGUCAUAGUUCACAAGUGGGAGACUCAUCUACAACCACGAUCAAUAACCCCUUUAGAAAGCGAAAUUAUUAUUGACGAUGGACAAUUUGGAAUUCACAAUGGUGUUGAGACUCUGGAUUCUGGAUGGUUGACAUGUCAGACUGAAAUAAGAUUGCGUUUGCAUUAUUCUGAAAAACCUCCUGUCUCAAUAACCAAGAAGAAAUUUAAAAAAUCUAGAUUUAGGGUAAAGCUGACACUAGAAGGUCUGGAGGAAGAUGACGAUGAUAGGGUGUCUCCCACUGUUCUUCACAAAAUGUCCAACAGCCUGGAGAUAUCGUUAAUAAGUGACAAUGAGUUCAAGUGCAGGCAUUCACAGCCGGAGUGUGGGUAUGGCUUACAGCCUGAUCGCUGGACAGAGUAUAGCAUACAGACAAUGGAACCGGAUAACCUGGAACUGAUAUUCGAUUUUUUUGAGGAAGAUCUCAGUGAACACAUAGUUCAGGGCGAUGCCCUUCCUGGACAUGUGGGUACAGCGUGCCUCUUAUCAUCCACCAUUGCUGAGAGUGGGAAGAGUGCUGGAAUCCUUACUCUUCCCAUCAUGAGCAGAAAUUCCAGGAAAACAAUAGGCAAAGUGAGAGUUGACUAUAUAAUUAUUAAGCCAUUACCAGGAUACAGUUGUGACAUGAAAUCUUCAUUUUCCAAGUAUUGGAAGCCAAGAAUACCAUUGGAUGUUGGGCAUCGAGGUGCAGGGAAUUCUACAACAACUGCUCAGCUUGCUAAAGUUCAAGAAAAUACUAUUGCUUCUUUAAGAAAUGCUGCUAGUCAUGGUGCAGCCUUUGUAGAAUUUGAUGUACAUCUUUCAAAAGAUUUUGUGCCUGUGGUGUAUCAUGAUCUCACCUGUUGUUUGACUAUGAAAAAGAAAUUUGAUGCUGAUCCAGUUGAAUUAUUUGAAAUUCCAGUAAAGGAAUUAACAUUUGACCAGCUCCAGUUGUUAAAGCUCGCUCAUGUGACUGCACUAAAAUCUAAAGAUCUGAAAGAAUCUGUGGUUGAGGAAGAAAAUUCUUUUUCUGAAAAUCAGCCAUUUCCUUCUCUUAAGAUGGUUUUAGAGUCUUUGCCAGAAGACGUAGGGUUUAACAUAGAAAUAAAAUGGAUCUGCCAACAGAGGGAUGGAAUGUGGGAUGGUAACUUAUCAACAUAUUUUGACAUGAAUCUGUUUUUGGAUAUAAUUUUAAAAACUGUCUUAGAAAAUUCUGGGAAGAGGAGAAUAGUGUUUUCUUCAUUUGAUGCAGAUAUUUGCACAAUGGUUCGGCAAAAGCAGAACAAAUAUCCCAUAUUAUUUUUGACUCAAGGAAAGUCUGAUAUUUAUCCUGAACUCAUGGACCUCAGGUCUCGGACAACCCCCAUUGCAAUGAGCUUUGCACAGUUUGAAAAUCUACUGGGGAUAAAUGCACAUACUGAAGACCUGCUCAGAAACCCGUCCUACAUUCAAGAGGCAAAAGCUAAGGGACUAGUCAUAUUCUGCUGGGGAGAUGAUACCAACGACCCUGAAAACAGAAAGAAAUUGAAGGAAUUUGGAGUUAAUGGUCUAAUUUAUGAUAGGUAUUUGUUUUUCAUGAAAAAUUUCUAUGGAAUGUUAGGAAAACAGUAGUUCACAUCUUAGAAAAUGAAAAAUAAUAUUAAACUUAGUUAAGUUAAAAAAAUCUGUAGUUUGGCCUGAGAUUUAUCUGAACAUUUUUUUGUCAUUGGAAUUUUUCAAACUUUGGAGUACCACAGUCAUUUGGGAAGCUUGUUAAAAAUUCGCAUGACUGGGCCCUAACCCAGACGCACUAAGUCAUCUUGUGGGUGGGAGUGGCUGUCUGCCCCAGACCUCUUCUCUAUCUACACCAACUUUUUUGGUGAUGUCCUCCAAUUUUGUGGCUUUUCAUACCUUUGUAUAUUCCCAAACUUUUAUAUCUCCAGCUCAGACCUUUCCUUAGACCUUUAAACUUUUGUAUCCAGCUGCCAACACCUGUUUUUCCUAAGACUUGCUGAUUUCAGUAUAAAUGCCAGCUCCGUCUUUCCAGUUUCUCAGGCCAAAUCCUCAGAGUCUUUCAUAACUCUAUUUAUCUCAUACCCCAAAUCCAGCCAGACACAAUCUUGUUGAUUAUAUUGUCAGAACAUAUCCUGACUCCAUCCACUCACCACUUUUACUGUUGUCACUCUCUCCUAAGCCACCUCAUUUUCCAGGUGAAUUAGUCAAGUAGCCUGCUCGCUGGUGACUGGCCCCACCCAUGCGUCCCUGCUCCCUCUUCUCAGCACAGCAGCCUGAGGGAGCCUGUUAAAGCCGAAGUCAGGUUACUGGGUAAAACUCUCCCACAGUUUCUGUGUCACCUCUAGUGAAAUCCCAGUUCCUUAUGUGGCCCUGUGUGGGCUGACUCCCAUCCAAUCCCCCACCACUACAUCUGCCCUCUUUCUGUCUCUGACCUCUUCUCCUACAGCUUUCCCUCAAGCCACCCCCACAUUGGCCUCCCGCUGUUUCUCUCCAGGAAAGACUGAAAUGUCACCAUCUCAGUAAGCCCUUCCCUGAAUAUCCUAAUUCAGAUAACAACUCUGCUCACAAUGUGCUUCCUGACUUUUUUCCAUGGUGUUCACCACCAUCUGAUAUACCCAUGUACAUAUUAUAUCCUACUUAAUUUACGUUCUCCCUGACCUCCUGUCCCAGCCCCCGCCUCCCCCCUCCCCUCAACAAGCUCCAUGGGGACCAGCUCUUUGCCUGUUUCAUACACUGCCCUAUCUCCAGAGGUCACAACAAUGUGGGAUACACAGUAGGAGCUCCCAUAUUUGUUGAACAGAUCUUUUUCUUUUCCUUUUUUAUAAGCUCCCCGGGAGUUUAUGAUGCAGGUUUGAGAGCCACUAAUCUGAGAGACGGAAAGGUUGCUUAGCAUAAAGGAACUCUGAGUUAGAAGGGCUGUCGUUAGAGGGCAUGAGUUAGAGGGAUGAGCAGGCUUGUUAAUACUUGAGCAGCAUUAUACAAAGAGAAAGUGAUAAAAUUCUUACCAGGCCUGCUUUGAAAAAUAUUUUCCUGGAAUUUAGUUCAUAUUUCUGUUCUAUACAGUUAUAUCUCUUCCUUAAUAAAACUUUUUUUCACUAUUUUGUCUGAAUUAGUAUGGUUUUAAAAUUACAGCCCAGAUAAUGCCUGCCUUCCUUUUUUUAACUAUUUGGUUAAUUUUGUAUUAAGCAGCAAAUGAUUCAUAGCUCUUUUUAAUAGACAUUUCUACCUAACUGACAGAAAAUUAAAAUUUUAAAGGAACAAUUUGAAGGAAAUUCCGGCUUUAGCAAAGUUUUGAAGAAUAUUUCUUUAAGGAGGAGGAAGGAAUGAUUGCACAUAUUUUCAGGCAAGAAAAGCGUAUUGUGAGAUUAUACCAUGUACAGUUUUGUGGGAUAUACAAAUGUUAGGCAGAUCCUUCAUCUCAACAACCUCACUUGCUUGGAGCCAAAUAUGAACACGUGGUGGAGAACAGGAAGAUGCUAUGUGAUAUAAAAGGCCCUGAAGAAAGAUAUAUGAUUGGAUGCCUGAACAGCCAAAUAUAUUCCAAGUGGAGCAGUUGGAACGCCUGAAGCAAGAAUUGCCAGAGCUUAAGAGCUGUUUGUGUCCCACUGUUAGCCGCUUUGUUCCCUCAUCUUUGUGUGC